UACGCCGGCCAAAGUUGGUGGGAACCACCCGUUCCCAUUCCGAACACGGUAGUUAAACCACCAAACGUCUGCGGUUGUACUGGACGCCGAGAGGGUCUGGGAAGCCGUGGAAGCUGGCGGCC
rnacentral:rRNA from 1 species